AGUGACGAUAGCCUAGGAGAUACACCUGUACCCAUGCCGAACACAGCAGUUAAGCCCUAGAACGCCUGAUGUAGUUGGGG
rnacentral:rRNA from 1 species